rnacentral:tRNA from 1 species
GAAGAGAUGGCUCAGCAGUUAAGGGCACUGGAUAUUGUUCCAGAGGACCUGGGUUUAAUUCCCAGCAUCCACA